CGCAGAAGAAGCGCAGCUCACGCAAAAGCGAAUACAAAAAAAAAACAACCAUCAGCGUUCUCGCUUCCGAAUCACCCCUUUCAAAGCGCUUUACUCACUUCUUCUCACGCUCGUCUUCCCUCUUUGCCACGCGCGUCCUUUUUAGCAUUUUUCGGUGUGCUUGUGUUUUUUUUUUGCCUUCCAUUUAGCUCAAGAUCUCUAUCGAGAACAUAGCUGCUUUCACACCAAAAGACGACACUGCUCCCCACCCUCGCUUUCUACGAACGCGCCUCUCUUCUUCAACCCUAAAGAAGAAACUCUUUUGCAGGGUGCUCCUCGUGUACGUUCUGCGUGCGCGUGCGUGCGUGCGUGCGUGUGUGUGUGUGUGGAACAAAGCUAGCAUUUGUGAGACACGAGCUGGCACUGCGAAGCCCCUGCACUUUUUUUUCUUCCUCUUCGUCAUCGCUCGUAAGGCUAUAGAUCAGUCAGAGGUGCACCCACACUCUCUUUCCCUUCCUUUCCAGCUGCGUCGGCAGCAACCUUGUGGCUUGGUGGAACAGUAACAGCGAAUCCUCCACACCGUUCACUCAGCGAGAUUCUACCAGACACAGGCGAGUGCGUGUGUUCAUGUAUCUCAGUGAUUCUCUUCCCAUACACAAUUCUUUUUUGGUUUCUCCAGUGCUUAGUUUCAUCGCUGUUUCUAUCUUAUUUGUUUCACACUGUUUUUCAUCCUUUUCCUUUUUUGCUUUCAUUGAUCUGCCCCUCCCUCCUCCCCCCUUUGGGCUUCCCUUUCCGUUUUAGCUACACAUAUAUAUAUAUAUAUAUAUAUUAUUUUUUCGUUUUGCUCUUGUUUUCUCUCAUCGUGCGCACCUACUUCAUUCUUUUUCCCUGUUCACUUUUGUUUCUCUCUUUACUGGUUUGCGUGUGUGUGUGUGUGCGUGCGGGUGCCUUUUCCAUUUUGCUUUGAUCUCUUUCUGCCUCCCCCUUGCUGUCUCUCGUGCUGCCUCACACGUAUCGACUCACGCAUUCACGGCAUAUUCCAGAUCUCUUGUCGGCUUUUCUUCGAACUUUCGAUUUCGUUGGUUCUUUUUUUUUUUCACUCUUGUCUUCGCUGUUUGUGGUGCCCUUUGCUUUUCCCUCUUUUCUCCACCCGUUUUUUCCAUCUUUGCAUUGCACGCUCUCUCUCGUCAGAGAAGUAGUACGCAAUACCACCACCAGUAACAGACACAAGUGACUUUCUUUCUUUUUCUCUGCUCCACUCUACUUCUGUUGUGCGCGCAGGAAAAGGAAAGGGAAACAGCAGAAAGUGUGAAGAUUGUGUCUCUGAGCGUCCGUGCAUGUCGCUGCCUGAGGCGAUCGUCUUUGCGAGCCGCGAUUGAUCAAUACACGAUACACCACCUCUAUCGUUGUUAUUGGCUUCAGUAGUCAUACACGCACACGCGCACAGGUAUCUACACAUCACUGAAUACCUAACAGAUAUCUUUAUAACGCCCCUAGUUUUUUGUUUGUUUCUUCUCUUGCUUUGUUUUCUUUUUCUCCGCACAAUGACAGCAAUUCCACCGUUUCUUUCGUUGGUGGACAUGUACGGCUACCUGCCCAACUUUGAUGCCGACUGCGACCUCCAGGUUGGCGACUGGGUGGUUGUUCAGCCGCAGCGCAGGGCGGCGUUGCUCGGCCCGCUGAUCAGUGCAUGGGAAACCGCUCCGCAAGAUCAUGCACUAUCCUCUGCAUCCUCCUUUGUGCCCCAGUACACCCUGAGUCAGCUUCUGCCUGAGCCUCUGACGCUCCGGAGGCGGUCGCUGGCGUGGAAUCGUGUCGGACUUGACUCGUUCUCGACAAGGCUGCCUCGGCUGGCUCCGUUAUCCGUGGCGCGAGCGCAUUACUGCCAGCGAAAGCGGCUGCACGUGGCUGACGACAGCCCGACAAACACAAGGGACAGCAGUGUGUGUGACGAUGAUGCAAGCAGCGGAAACGGCAAUCUGUACCUGCACGUGCGCUUGGGCCUUCUCACCCCCUCCCGCCCGUACGUUUUCGGAGGUUUGGACAUCGUGGAGGUGCUGGGGUGGCCAUGUAAUGAUGCGUGCACCGAAGACAUGGCGGUGUCCGUACCCCCUCACUCUGCAGCUCAAAAGCCAGCUGUUCUGUACUUGAACCUUCUCACAGGAGAGACGCUGACGCGCGAGGAGGCAGUGCGUAGAACAUCAAAGCUGAUGCCUUCAUUUACCUCUUCUGCCACCACAUGGUCCUCUGCGAUCGAGGAGGCUGCUGAGAAGGAAUGGCAGCAAUGGGUGCUUCGGAGAACCUGCAUCACGCAACAGCAGCCCUGCGGGUAACUGCACCUGCAAGUUUCAAUGAGCAUAGAAGUAAAAGGAACAGUGACUUGGUAAGAUGAAACUAUCCGAACACGCAGAGAAGACAGCGCCUUGUCCGUUCCUCCCCCUUUUCUUGCUUUUCCUCAGUUUCUGGUAGAAACGGAGUUGGGGAAGAGGGCGGGGUCGUACAAGGAGCUUCUUUGCAUCUUCGUCUUUCCUUUUUCCUUUGCUCUCUGUCUCUCCCCUGCUGCCAAAUGCGUAGCCACGUUUGUGUCUCUCUUGCUUGAUUUUUCUGCCUGACAUAUGUAUCCCCUACCCCUCCACUUUUUCUCCCUUUAGUUCGCUUCUAUCUUCUGUGAUAUCCCAUCCAUCCUUUUAACUCUUCUUUUUUUUUCAUCCCUUUACCCCUCUCGCCAUUUCGCACCUUCUUCGAUACUGCUUUGCCUCACUGCCACUCUUCUUCCCGUUUUUUUUUUCGUGUGUACUUCUCUGUUUCUGGUUGUGUGGGUGCUCUUUUUUUUUGUGUAUGUGUGCGGCCUUUCUUCCCACUGCAAUGACUACUACCAUGCCCACUACUGCGAGUCUCUGCAUGCGGUUCUUAUCAAUCACGCAAAAUCCCCCAAAAGAAAAAUGCGAAGCAAAGAAAAAAGGCAGAGAUCCUUCCUUCUUCCCUACCUCUUCUUUUUCUUUCUUUUUUUUUUGCACAUUUUAGCUCCAAUUAUGUUUACUCUUUCUUCCUUGCGCCUUUUCCUUUUUGAUUUUUAUUUUUAUAUUUCAUUUCUCCUCCUGUUUUUUUUUUCUCGCCUACUUUAAGUCUCUCUUUUACAUAGCACUUGUGUAGUACUUGUCCGGUCCCCUGUCUCUCUCUCUUUCUUUUCCACCUCCUCCACAGGGGUAUGAUUCAAGUCUUUCUGUGAUGAGUUUAACAUCACAUGGGCGCUAGUAACACGGAUCUGCACGCGCGUUGCCCUCCACCACCACCUGAGCCUCACAAAUAGGGAAGGUUCGAAUGCAGUUGGACGUGCGUGCAGGGGGAAUCUGCCCUGCACAUCUCGUGGCUGAUCUUCAGAUUUGGAACGUCAAGCUGCACCCUCUUCGCCUCUCCGUUUAUGUGUGGACACGCAAUAUGUGACCGUGGCUGCGUGUGGGUGUCAGACAGGAAUUCGCUUGUCUACCUUCUCUCUUUGGAUUCUUGCGUUUCGCUCCUGGGUUAUCACGAAAAGCUCUUUUUCGGGUUGUACUUUUUCCUGCUCUCUAUUUCACGUUCCUCAACACUCCCAUCAGCCCAUAUAUAUAGGUACACACGCGCAUACAUAUCCCUUGCUCUCAGACAAGAGUAGAUUCUCCGUCUUCCGCCUCUUUCCCCUUGGUUUCUGUGUGUUAUGCAGCCUUUCACCCACCGCUUCUUUGUGAAGUCUCUCCUUGCGCCACUUCUUCGUCUUUCACGACGGAUAGAAGCGGCAGCGAUGGUGCAGGGCAUCCGCAAAGAGGAAGGGGGAAGGGAGAGAGACAACCCUGUAUAACAAGAACUUACAGGCGAAGGCGGACGUGAACUCAAGAGUGUGUGUACUGAUAGUCUUUUUUUGUUCGUUUCUUCCAAUGCUUCCCGAUUUCACUUUGCGUCACCGUCUUUCUUUCCCUCUCACGUGCUCUUCCAACUGCGAUGGCUGACCUCUCCUCCUAUCUUGGCUUGAUCGUAUUGCCACCUCUUCCGAGAUCUUUUUUCUUUUUUGUUCUCCCGUCUUUUCAGUGUCCGAUGCCGGCCUCCCCAGCGUGGUAUCCAGGGUUCAGUACCCACUCUCUGCGGGGAAGCCAGGCAGCCCCUCCCCCUAUCCCUGUCAGUGCCGGACCACCCCUCGUGGUGCCAGGGUCAGGUACCUACGACGUAGCGAAGUCAGAGCGAUUUAUCGCUACGGGUGUCGGCGGUCAUGUCCUGGAUGGCGCUGCGUGGGGGAGGCCUGCAGCUGUGAACGUGUUUGUGCGAACCAUAUGAUGGGCAGUAUGCCGCCCUGACCCGAACGUAUCUCACCCGGCCCUCACUGCGCCCUGGCUCGGGGAGCCCGAGGCGCCCGGAGGGAUGCGCGACGUGGCGACCGGGCACAAGGCGAGCGGCCGUGAGGGGCGACCUUGCGGGGCGGGGAGGGCGGGUAGAGGGUCUGGGGCGGAGGCCGCGCUUCGCUGACUGGGUCGGCGCAUUUCUGCAGCGGCGCGUGUCUACGGCUGCUUGGCGCCACGCGGUGUGGGGGCCUGUUGCAGGGCCAGGGGUAGAGGUGCGCUAAGCUCGUGUUUUGUGGCAGAGUGGAGACGUUGAAACACAAAAUAUCUUUUCGUGUUCUCUGUUGUGGAUUACCGCGCUCCCUUUCUCGGUGGCCUUUCUUUGUUCUUUUCAACCUCUCCGUUGUGUUGCUCUUAUGCGCAGUCGUGUGCGUGUGCGUGUUUUCCUUCACUGGUGCGUAUGUUUGUGUAGACUCGCGCUUCUCUCUCUUCACCAUGCUUUUCUUCUCGCUUGUUUCCCUUUUUCUUUCUGAUCCCUCCUCUCUUGCACUGUUCUCUCCUGCUUCUCAAAGGAGUGAGCGAAUCGAGGUGCAGCAACGUUCAGUAAACCCGUCACAAACCAAAAAAAUAUAUGACGGAGACAAUACUGGUGCACUUGUGGGAGUGUGUGUGUGUGGACGUUACUCUCUCGCUCCUUUGAGGUUUUGGUGUCUACCUCUCUUUCUAUCGGUUCUCUCCUCUCCCUUCUUUCUCUUUUCAUGCCCUCCCGACUCCACUCGUGAGCAGCUCUUCCCCGCCACGUGCUCGCGUCAUGCCGCUUUUGCGCUUUCUGCCGCUCUCGACCCUUCCCUUUGCCGCUGCUAUACAUUUGGUUUGAACGGCCGGAGAAUCUCUCUCUCGCACGUGCUUUUUUUAUACGUGUGUGUGUUUGCGUGCGUUCCUAACAGUGGUGAUGACGGCAGAAGACGUGAAAGCGGCGUUCAAACGCGACGUCUCUCUCUCUGUCUCUCCCUCAUGCCACCUCUCCCUCCCCUACUACCUAUGGGCUCCUCCUCUUUCUUUUCCGGUUGUUCUGCUACCCCUUCGUUCUUCAUCUGUUGUGGUUCUUUGCUUGUGUGUGUGUGUGUUUGUGUGCCUGUGCUGGCCGUUGUUUCUCCUCUUCUCUUUCUUUUUUUUCCUCUCUUGUGUUAUCCCUUCGCUUUUUUUACCUGCUCGAUCGAUCAAGAAGCGUGUCACCGGCGUCGCCGUGUUUUUGAUUUCAGCUCUUUACCCACACCCACACCCACACAUACACACACAUGCACAAAGAAAGAAGUGAAGAAACAAGAAGAGACGACGCAGAGAGAAGCGAAACGAAAGCACGAACCUUCUGCCCUGACCCCUUUUCUUUUUCCCGUUUUGUAUUUCUGAAAGGGACCAUCGAAGACAGCAAAAACGGAAGACGAAGGGGGUGGGACGAGGAGGGGGAGGAGGCGGAGAGAAAGCGAGAGGAAGUAGAGAAAUGAAACAAUAUACAAGGCUUGUGUGCGUUUUCCGCCUUUUUUGUUGCUUACUCUCUCUCUGCGUUUUCGUUCAUGCGCCUUCUCGUACUUUUUUUCCGCCACCCCCUUUUGUGCCGUUCUUUUUUUGUCUUCCAUCCGUCUUUCUCUUCCCUCGCCCUUCCUCCUCCUAACUUGCUCCGCGAGUGUACUGUGACGGCGAAAGGAAAAGCUCCACAUGAGUGUCGACGUGGAAGCGGUGAAACUCUCCCACAGCACUUGAUGAUGCCAUCCGGUGAAGUCACAAAACAACAAACCGAAGGCCUCUCCAUGAGCGACUGUGAGAGGGGCUGUGUGGGCCUGUGAGGUGGCGGUAAGGUACCAGCAAGGUCUGUGUGUGUGAAAGUCUCACUUCCUCUUUUUUUGGUCUGUUUUUGUGCUUUUUGCUUUGAUCAUGUUGAGUGUCUCUUUACCUUAUCUCUUUCACAAUGCUCUUGAUCGAUAUGCCUGUGCUGAUCUUCUCCACUCACCCUUCUCUCUCUCUUCUGUCCCAGACACACACCCACUUUCUGAGGCGUUUGUGCAUGCGUCUGUGCCUUCGCCUGCGCCUGUGUGUCCCUUGUGCUGACUUUCGAAAGAGAGGGAAAGGGAAGGUAGGGGUGAAACACUCUACUAUACGGCCUGCAGUGAAGAGAUACGGAGGAAAAGGGAAAAAUACAACAAACAAGAAAAGGAAGAGCAGUCAAAGACAGAAAGUCAUGGAUCGUAUGCGGGAACAAACGCCUGUCUAUAUAUACUAUGCAUAUUAUAUAUUAUUUUGCCCACCCUUUUCACCUUUUUUGUAUAUUCGCACCCCUGUGCAUACACACAAAAGGAAACCACGAUCUAGACUACGAGUCUUCUCCUUUUUUCUUUUCUGUUUUGUUCUGUGUUAUUUGUCUUCUUUCAUUACCUUAUCGAGCUUGUGGACCGCAUCCGCCGUGCAUGACGUCAUUCCUUUUCUCUCACUCCCCCGCUUGUUUUGUUUCCUCUCUCUCGAUCUCUCUAUAUAAUUUACACCCUCUGCGCUGAGAAGCCAAAUCAAAAAAAAAAAAUAUGAAUUGCGCGCGCGCGCACACACACACACACACACACACACACACAAAAGACAAAAGGGAGGGGAGGGGGCGAGGCAUAAGAGGCAGCGCCUAUCAACGUGCGUGCGUGUGUGAGCGUGUGAAGGAGUAAGUGUUCUCUUGCCGGUGCUGUUAAUCUGUCGCUCACGCGCGUUGCAAGAGAAGUGGGGGUGAAUGUGAUGGGAGGGGGUGAUAAUGACUGUUGUUCUUUUUCCACCCGUACACCUCUUCUUUUUGAGUGUUGCCGUUCCCCCGGCUUCAUCUCGGGUCUGCACAAGGCUCUUGCUCCCUCCCUCGCCCUGAUAACGCGCUCGUGAAACGAAGGAGGCGUCGAAGUCGAUCGAAUUCUUCGGAAGAGAAACGCACUAUCACGAGCUGCCUCUGCCACUACCAUUGCUCUCUGUUGAACCACGGCCUCAGCCCUUCCCCACCUUUUCUCUCUUCUAUGCUCCUCCUCGUCUACCUUCUUAUCCCUUGGCUCUCUUUCCUGUGUACCGAUUUGCUCCCCUCUUUCCUUUUGUUUCCCGCUUUCCUCCCAUGUGCUGUGUGCUGCGUGUGCCUCGCCUGCUCCUGCGCAUCGCCUUCCGUCUGUCUAUGCGGCCCCACAUGAAAG
rnacentral:misc_RNA from 1 species